GUCCCUGGCAACAAUUUGCAGCAAGAAAUAGGCAGCUCAAUUCGCUAUACUAGUGCAACUUGCCUCACGCAUUCAGUUGCAAGUAUAUGUAUAUUCUAUAUUUUGUUACCUGAUUUUGUGGUAAGUUCACACAGCCUGGUCUUAUGAGGAUCGAAGAUUGAGCUUUAUGGCGCAAGGACAAUGCUGUAGGAAAGGGUUAAAAGUAUAGUUCGUUUGCCAACAUUUAACCACAGACUAGGAGUAGAAUUAACGAUCUACUCCUAGUCUGUGGUUAGAUGUUGGCAAACGAAGAGCUUGUCUUGUGGUUCCUAGUUGUGCAAGUUUCGACCCACCCAUGCCAUCACCUCGUCAAAUAAGGUUUUAACGAAGAAAACUCAAAAGAGAAACACAUAAAGGGUCCAAGAAAACCUCCAUUCACUCUUCAACACGAAAAAGAAGAAGCCCUUAGCAAGGAAAGUGUGAUGAAAUAGCCGAAAACUUUUACGCACCGUGGCAAAGUUUACGACAGGGACCUAUGCUUUUGCCAUCUAGACGACAUUCAGGUUGUGCUGCUAGGCAGAUAAAUUCUUCAAUCCUUGGGGAAUCGAUGAUGGUCUGGAGGAAUGCCCAGCUACCAAGGAAAUCAUGUUCGGACUUGUCUCCCGCAAAAUUUGGAUAAAACGUAUGGGUGUAAUUGAUGUGAUUGCUGCAGAAGGUUUCGUUACGUGGAAUACAUUGAGUGGACGAUGACGCAGGGCACGUUUUCAUUGGAAUGUGUUGUUGAAUUGUUUUCAAGUUGCGUGAAAUUUGUUGUGAAGGGCGUUGACGGAUUGAUUUCUGCGGGACGUGGGGUAACCGAAACACCAUCCUCAACAGACGUGACAUUCACCCCAUCUAAUCCUUGUUUACAAUAAAUAGGGAAAACAAAUGCUUACCGUUUUCACCGGUCAACCCAAAUUUUACUCCACAGUAGACAGCCGCAAACCCCGCCGCCAUUAAAACCAACGUAAAGCACGCCAAACAGAUUUGCCGGUUCCAGUAGCUAGACAUUUUGACAGUCGGUGCCCUCAGGUCUUCCUUGGUCAUGGCGUCAGAAAAACUGUGUACCUCGAUCUUCUUUGUGCUAAUUUUAAAAAGUUUUACAAAGUAACAGUUCCUUUCUCAGUCAAUAAAAAUAUUUGUUGAUAAAACUUA